UGUAUCUUCUUCAACCUUUUUUCCAUCAUCUUCUUGAAAGGACUCUUCACCACACGAUUUCAUCUUCAUCUUCAUACACCUUCAACCUUCCACUUCAUUCUUCACGAUUCCUUCGAUCAUCAUCACACUUCUUCAACGGUCAAUCUUCAUCGAGUCCACGGUUUUCUCUGCUUCAACCUAAUAGCUUCAACACACGGUAUCGACGCGAAGGAAAAGCGCAAAUCCAAAAAGGGAAAAGAAGAAUACGUUAUCAGAACCACACACGGAAACAAAGAAGAAGAAGGAUUUGAAUCGGAUAAGUGA